GUAGGGUGCAAGCGUUAAUCGGAAUUACUGGGCGUAAAGCGUGCGCAGGCGGUUUUGUAAGUCUGAUGUGAAAUCCCCGGGCUCAACCUGGGAAUUGCAUUGGAGACUGCAAGGCUAGAAUCUGGCAGAGGGGGGUAGAAUUCCACGUGUAGCAGUGAAAUGCGUAGAUAUGUGGAGGAACGCCGAUGGCGAAGGCAGCCCCCUCGGUCAAGAUUGACGCUCAUGCACGAAAGCGUGGGGAGCAAACAGGAUUAGAUACCCUGGUAGUCCACGCCCUAAACGAUGUCUACUAGUUGUCGGGUCUUAAUUGACUUGGUAACACAGCUAACGCGUGAAGUAGACCGCCUGGGGAGUACGGUCGCAAGAUUA
rnacentral:rRNA from 1 species